UCUGAAGUUGUCUAAGCAAUGGAUUAUGUGUCACUGGAAGCCAAAGAGUUGACAUCUUUCUACAUUUACUAAAACUCUGUUUUGAACAAAGAUUAUUGGGUUUAUAUAUGGUACUACAGAUCAUAUUAGGGACAUUUCUCUCCCCCCCCCCCAGUAAUAAAAUAAUACACUAUCUGAUUAAACUGAUAUGGUGAAUGAGGCCACAGAUAUUCUAGAACAAUUACUUAUACGGAUUUUAGAAAUUCAUUAUUUCAAUAUACCUGGAUGAAACUGUAAAAUGUAAUUGGGCAGACCUUUAUGUCCCCCCAAAGUCCUGUUUCAUAAAUUCUUAAGUAUUUGUCCAUCUCAGCCAUUCAGCCAAAGCUCAGCUCAAGUUGAAACUUGCAAGGAAUGUCAAGGUCAACAAGAAGAGUUACAGAGUAGCAGAGAAUAUUGCAUUAGUAAUAAAAGGCUGACCAAGAAAACUGUGAGCCUCUUUCUGAAAGAGGUAGUUACUUUAGUUGACAGUGCACACAUCAGACUGGAUAAAGUCCUAAGCAAGCUGGCUGGACCUCAUAGUUAACCCAGCCUUGAGCAGAGGGUGGACUAGAGGGCUUCAGAGGACUCUUCUAAAUUACGUGACUCUCUGGUUCUAGGGAGUGAACUGGGAGAUGGCAGAGAAGUUCCCUACAUCAAAUAGCCAUGCACAGGUUGAUAGAUUAUGGACCAGCCCCCAACAAGAAGAAACAAAGAUGGGACAACUUUGUCUCAAGAUUGCUGACAUUGAUGAGCAGUGCAGUGCAAGGGUAGCUACUUUCAAUGGGACAAAUUUUGAUGUGAAGCAAAUAGGUAGAGGCUGCUUGUUGUGCAUAUAUGUAGGUUGUAUCCGUGCAUGUGUUUACACACAAAGAAGUGACUCAAUGGAGUCUCUCUUAUAUCACACAAAUACUAAUGUUUUGGUGAAAGUCCAUCCCUAGUCUAGAAAUGCCCCAGAGUCUCUGAUGAAAUGAAUCACAAAUGAUGCUGGGAGCAGGAAACAAUUUUUUAGCCAGGACCAGCAAUAGAAUAUGUUCAUUUGUUAUGAAUGAAACCAUUUCUCAUAUUUUGCAAGUUUUAUGGCCUUAUCACAUCUACUUCAAUACAGGUGUGCUCUUAUCCAAAAAUACUUACUAUGCCUUCCUAUAGUUAGUUCAGAUUAUAAACAAUGGGGUUAUUACCUGCAGCUCUACAAUAUAAGUGGUGGGGUAGUAAAGGUGCAAGAAUAUUUUCAUUUCAGAAGAUUCUACACAAAGAAUUUUGGAGAAGGAAAGUGAUUUUAAAUAACAGAGCUAAAAGAAUAAUAUCAGAAACAAAACUUACAUCCUAGAGAUGUUGGGGAGAUUGGAAAAAGCAUCACUUGGAAUUGUUCUUAGAUGAGUCUCCAUAAACCUCCUAUAAAAAUAAAAGUUUGGCAGUUAAUAUCCUUUGAUUAAAAGCUCUAUUAACUCCAGAAAAAAACUUCAAUCUUCCUUCCAUAAAAUCUUUCAAAAAGAAGAACCCAAAGUCUGAGGUCAUGUUCAUUGCAAACAUACUAUCAAUAUUUGCAAAGAUAUAAAAGAACGCAAUCACAUUUUCGCUAAAUGAAAUGUUUUUAAAAUGGCAAGAGAAUGUUUCAGAAAAACAUUUCUGGUCUCAUAGGGUGACAUUUAGUUUGCAUUUCUUAGUUUCAUAGGUCGGAAAGUUGGUUUGAAGCUUUUAAAACUCUCUUUCUGUUUUGAUACUUGCACCAAAGGUUUAGCCUCUAUGUUCCUGAAAGACUUUACAUUUCAUGUAUCAAGAAAAUGAAACCUGGCCUACUGGUAAGAAACUUACUGGACUGCUUGUGCAGAACUUAACAUUUUUGCUUUCCCCUGCCCCAAACAUCUGUCAACCAGGAAUGUAAAAAGUUUCUUGCUCAAAAAUCAAGUACUACAGACACUCACCUAGCAACUGUGAGUUGUUACUUUAAAGACACAAGAUUGGCGGCUUAGGCCAGGCAUAAGAUGGUAAAACUAGAAUCAGCCCUGUAAACUGAGCAAGUAGCAUUAAUUGCAUUGCAAAUAAUGAUGUUAAUUGCCCUUAGUAUAUUCUGUUGUAACACAAUAAUUUUUUCUUAUUUAGACUGCACUUUAAAAAAUCUAUAACUAGUAACCAUUAAAAUACACAAUUUACAGGUGGCUUAAAACAAGGCAUAAGUAAUAAUAAUAGAAAUAAAAAACAAGUUCACAAAAAUACUCCACUAAUAAACAAAGCCAUAAUUACAUCUCAGAAGCCAGGAGUUUCUCACUUCCCCUUGUGCACUUAAGUCAGAAUUACAGCAUAGCUGAUUUUUUUUUUUCAUUGAAUACUAAAUACAAUUAGAGACAAGUACUAAGGAGUUACAGAAAAAUUCAAGUGAAAUUGUUCAUAAUCCUAGUUCUCUUUCAACUGAACAUAUGCACAAGAAUAGAAUCUGGCCUGUGACUUACAGAAGUGAUAUAGAGAAUAUAAGGAAGUUAACAAAAAAAUUUGGUAGGUAUUUCAUUUCUUACAUGUCACCAUUUUCAAACACGUGAUAUUGAUGAAUAUCAGAGCUACGAGCUACGUAGCAGCCAGGAACAGAGAAACACCAAGGGAUGUAGAGGCUAUUUCACUUGACUGUGGCUACUUCAUUUCUAUUACUGCCUUGUGUUACAGCAAAAAAGUCCAGGGGAAAAUGUAGGAUUUAUACACUCCCUUCUGUUACACGUUUUCAUCUGAUAACUAGCACUAACAGCAUCCAUAAUGUAGCCAAAAUACUAUUAGAGUGAGAACUUACAGGUGUAAAUGUGAAAAUUUAAAGAAGAAAAAAUUCUAUUGCUCUUUGGCUUGCUUAUUAAAUCACUUGAAAGCUUUAUUUCUCAUUGCAGAUGAA